UUCUUUCUCUGCCACCCCCCCCCCCCCCCAAAUGCAUUGGUGGAUUAGUAGAUAGAAGAAAAUAUAAUAAUUAACUUUUUCUUAUAGAAGAGCAGCAUCAUUUUUGCUUGAAUUCCUUCUUGCUCACGUUACGUCUCCCCGAACGUAGUAACACUGAUGUCUAUUAAGACAAGUAGAACAUACACAGAAAGGCAAUGGAGCAAAACCAGGCAUCCAUUCCAUUUCAGGUAUCUUAAGUGGCUCGUCGAAGUUAACACAGGCGUAAGCAGCCGUGUUGUAAGACUGGAAAGCUGCAUCCUGCAAGCUGAGCAAAUCAUUUUUAAGGGGAGUUUGGCAUUACGUGGCUUAAACUGCAGAACCAGAAAGAAAUGGAGAUAGUGGGAAAAGUGAAGCACUACAAGGAGAUGCCAAAAAGACAGAGGCUGAGACUAGGAAGAUGCUGAUUUUACCCCAACUCUUUUAAAAAUUAAAAUAAAAUUGGCCCCGUGGCCCCUUCUGAA